rnacentral:lncRNA from 1 species
CUACAGUGUUUCUUAAUGGGGGUGCGUAGUGUGCUCGGGGGUGAAGAAUUUUUUGGUGAUAUUGCCCUCUGCCUGGCUUUCUGGCCCCCACCCACUAAAAGCUGGUAAUGCAGGCUCCACUCUGUCACUGUGACAGCCCCAAUCUGCCCUCACACAUUUCCCAUGCUACCUCCCCAUGAUUGCUUGUAGCCUAGAGAGAAAAUAUAGAAUGAAAAGAAUUCUAAAAAAAAAAAAAAAGAAAAGAAAAGAAUUCUAUAUUCUCAUAUAGAAUGAAAAGGGAAAAAGACCCAGGACAGACUGUGCACAUUGAGGUUUUGUAGAGGAAGAAUAGCUUGCAAAGGAAGCUGAGAAGAGUGGCCAGAGAGGCAGGAGAAAUGCCAGGAAUGUGUGAUGUCAAGUGGAAGCCGCGAGAAGGGAGUGUUUUUAGAAAGAGAGGCAAGUAAAUUGUAUUGAACGCUAUUGCGAGAUGAAGCAGAGAACCAAAGUGUGUCCAUUGCAUUUUAGAGCCUGACCAAUGAGGAUCUUAGCAAGGCUAGGUCAGCAGAGUGGGGUGAGAGAUGCAGGCCUGGGUCGGGGGAGGGAGGAGGUGGGGCAGGGGGGUGUGUGGGAGAGAGAGAGAGAGAGACAGACAGACAGACAGACAGGAGCAGACAGACAGACAGACAGGAGCUCUGUCACCUACCUUCAGAAGUCUGCAGUCACUAAGGCCCACAUUCAAGGAGGGGAUUUAGACUCCCCCUUGAUAAGACAAAUGUCCAAGAAUUGGGAAUCCUUGGGUGGCUUGGUGGUUUAGUGCCUGCCUUUGGCCCAGGGUGUGAUCCUGGAGUCCUGGGAUCGAGUCCCACAUCGGGCUCCCUGCAUGGAGCCUGCUUCUCCCUCUGCCUGUGUCUCUGCCUCUCUCUCUCUCUCUGUGUCUUUCAUGAAUAAAUAAAUAAAAUCUUAAAAAAAAAGAAAAAAAUGUCCAAGAAUUUUCAGACAUUUUUCAAAACCAGCAGAGCUGACAUAGCUGGUUCCCUACCUUUCCUAGUGCUUCUGAGAACUAACGAACUAACAGAUAUAUCUGUCUGGUAUGGGUGGGGUCAGACUGCACACCAAGUGUGUUCUCUGAAUCCUACACUGUUCAGCUUCAGAAGGGCACAAGAAUGGGGCUCUCCUGGCCAAUUUAUUCAUUUAUUCAAAUAACCAAUGAAAACUCACACAUCUAAGGAGCACCUCCCAUUUGUCGAGUCCUGAAGAUACCACAGUGAAACACUUCUCUGAAUUAUGUGUACAGCCUGAUGAGACGUACACCAGGUAUUGGGGCUGUUACAAUGCAGUGUGAUGAGUGCUAAAAUACGUAGACUUCAGAAACUUGGGGGUGCACCUAACCCAGAGGACUUGGGGAUCAAGGAAGAUGUUCUAGGGAAAUGACAUCAAACCUGGGACUUGAAGAAUGAGUAUGAAUGAAUUAGGCUAGCAGUGGUGAAGGCAGUGGUAGAAGAAAGCUCCAGGAGAGACAGCAGGAUGUGCAAGGGCCCUGAGGCAGGAAGAGGCUUGCCCCCCUUCUAUGUGGCUGGAGCACCAUGGGUGGAGGAGGGAGAAAACAGAAAUGAAGCUGGAGACAUGAACUGGGGGGCAGGUCAUACAGAGCCUUCAGGAGCCUAGUCACUUAAUUUAAGGAUAACCACAGUGUUGGAUAUCAGAAAUACUUAAGGAAAAAGUAGAAUUAUUUGAUAAAGUCAGAGGCCCACAUUUAAAUUCCAAGCAUUCAAAUAACAAUGGCAAGACCUAGCUCAGUCAUGACAUGUGACAAUGGCUGAGUGGCAGCUGCCCACUGCUGGUCAUUUUAGCUCCCAUCUGGUUCUGGUGGGGUUCCCUGGAGAGCCAAUUCUGAGAUGGGGAUUUGCCAUCCGGAGUUUUUUGGAGAGUGGUCUCAGGAUCACCACUGGGAAUGGGGAGGAGAGGGGAAGGAUUGGAUGGAGAAGCUGAAUCUCAAUGGGGUAGAUCAUUUGCAACCAAGGGCUCAGCCCAUCCCACAGAAGGUAGGAUGGUCUGACUGAGUUGUUCUGCCUAAGAGCAGGAGCCAGGCUUUUACAUCCCCCAUCGAACAUUACUGGAUGUGAGUUGCCCCGGGAAGAGGGCAUGACCAUGGACAAGAUAACUAUUUUUUUGUUGAGGGUGGUCCCCAGAGAGUGACUCUGCUGAGAGCCACCCCAGAGGGCAGCGUGUCAGCGCUGCAGGAGGAUCUGGACAGUACACCACAGCAUCCACCACACCGUCACCCCAAUUCUCUCCUGACCUUGAGGCCAAGUGCCACUUAUCAUGUGUAGUUGCCCUUAUGCUGCCAUCUGUCUUAGGGUAGAGGCUGUUUCUCUUUUACCUACUUCUCCAGCACAAGUCACCAUGAAACACUCAGGGAAGGCUGCUUGCUUCAAGAAAAAUAGGAGAAUACAUCGGUCCUUUUGGGAGUGAAGAAUAUUCAUUCCUGCUUGAUUGAUUUGCAAACACCC